GUAGCACUAAUACCAUUGGUCAAUUUGAUCAAAGACCACACCAGCCGGUUGGAUGAACUGGUGACCAAAGUCAAGGCAUUUUGGGCCCAGCUUAGCCCCACCCGAAUAUUUAACAGGCAUGGAUACAUCAUAGAGAAUAUUUCGGAUUUCUAUUUUAAGAAAUCAUCACUAACUUUCUAUUGGAUUGAGAUUUAGAAACUAACACUAACCUUCUAUUCUUAGAUAAUUUAUUAAAAUUUAGUAACAAUUCACAAUCUCUAAUCCUUGGUAUUGAGAUUUAUAUCAGGUGAUCUCUGUAAAGGAAGCACCUUCCUUUCAUAUUCCUAAAAUGGGGCAAGCUAUACAAGUCAAGAGGUAGUUGAUUGCCUCAUCCAUUUUGUAGCAGACCACUUUUCACCUGACAGAACCUCACACCCUCCAUGUAAGCUUUUAGGAUCUGACUGUCCAUCUAAUCCCAUGCUCCAGAAAAGCACUGCAUCUCCUUUAAUUGGCUUUACAGACAACCCUUUCACAACCUUUCCACCACAAUUGCAUUCGCCUGAUCCAGCCAUAGGAAAAUAUGUUUCUCCACCCUCAACAUUGUCACUUAAGUACAUCAGCAUUGUUGCUACACGCUGCCCACCACGCUUCAAGUUGAACUUAAAAAAAAAUGGGGGGAAAUGAGGGAGAAAAAGAGAGGAGAUAGGACAAUUUCAUAUCAGGAGAUUGUUCAAAUUAAGAAAUGAUAGAACAGUAGGGGAAGGUUAAACGACUCACAGUGUCGGAAAAGUAGUCAUGAUGGGGCUUGUAAAACUGAUUCUUUUCAUACCUGCACUUAAAACUUGGAUAAGCUCCCCAUUUUCUAUUGGCACUUGAGAAUAGACUGAUAUCCUUUUUUCAAUUGCCUGAUUGUGCAAGCAAGAAAAAAUUUUUUUGAAACAAUAGAAAAGAAAAUUCAGUGCAGCAGCAUCUUAUUAGUUGUCAUUAUGUCUAAACAAAGACGAACUAAGAAAAAACUAGUUGCAUUAAAGGCAAUGAUAAGAACUGAGAAGGAAACAUUUCACAAGCAUGCAUACACGCAGAGACCUGAAUCCUGAUCCAGAUGCAAGCUUGCCGAUGUUGGUUCGUUGCAGUGUGUUUUUAAUAGUUAAGUAGUAACAUUGAAUUAGCUAGUCAUUUUGAUAUGUAAGCAGCUCAAUCACUUAUAUAAGCCCGUACUAAAUAUGAAUUAAUAUGUAAUAUGUCUAGCACUUUCUCCAAAUCUAAUAUGGUAUUAGAGUCUGGAUUCGAUUGUGGGUUUUAGCCACUCAUAAAACCAUUUAAACCCGUAUUGGGUUAAUACUAAUUAUCAAGGGACAACUAUGUAGUCGCACUUAAGGGGGGAGCGUUGGGAAAUGCCACACUGAAAAUAUACACAGUAAAAGCGCAUAAUAUUAGUUGUUGAGUUGUAACAUUGAAUUAAUUAGUCAUUUUGAUGUGUAAGCAGCGCAAUCAUUUAUAUAUUCCAUACUAAAAAUGAAUUAUUAUGUAAUAUGCCAACAUUCUCUCCAAAUUUAACAGAAGCUAUCUUAUCAAACACUACUGCUUCGCUCUUUAUGUGAGAUAGUUAAGCCAUGCGGCAGGACACAAAAAACUAAAGCCACAAAAAAAUUACUAAAAUAUCAUGGCCAUGUGAUUGAUCAUCAUGCAUAAAUACAAGUAUCCCACAGAUGGAAAAUUUACUCGGCCCACUUUACCUAGUGGGCAAAGAGGACAAACCUUCAGGCACUUGCUUCUAAAAGCUUUCUACUUAGCAAGCAGAAGUUAUGUGACUAACCAAUGGUGCCAAUGGUGGCGCUCGGGGGGCCAGCAGUGGCCACUGCCCCCUUAGCCAAAAAAAAAAAAAUUAUAAGGAGCUUACUAUAUUUACUCUGGUGUAGAUUCAUGUUGCUCCCCCUAACUAGACCAAUGUUGCACACCUAUUCCAAUCUAAAUUUUUUCUUUUUUAAUAUUUAAGUCUAAUUGUUGUCAUAAUCUUAACUUG
rnacentral:misc_RNA from 1 species